AAUAGAUACCCCGGUAGUCCUGGCUGUAAACGAUGACCACUAGACGUUGGGGGUAUCGACCCCCUCAGUGUCGCAGUUAACACAAUAAGUGGUCCGCCUGGGGAGUACGGUCGCAAGAUUAAAACUCAAAGGAAUUGACGGGGACCCGCACAAGCAGCGGAGCGUGUGGUUUAAUUCGAUGCAACGCGAAGAACCUUACCAAGGCUUGACAUGCAUUUGCACCGGCCGUUAUGGGUCGUUCUCUUCGGAGACGGAUGCACAGGUGCUGCAUGGCUGUCGUCAGCUCGUGUCGUGAGAUGUUGGGUUCAGUCCCGCAACGAGCGCAACCCCUAUCGUUAGUUGAAGAGUCUAGCGAGACUGCCGGAACAAACCGGAGGAAGGCGGGGAUGACGUCAAGUCAGCACGGCCCUUACGCUUUGGGCGACACACACGCUACAAUGGUCAGGACAGAGGGACGCCAACCCGUGAGGGGGAGCCAAUCCUGACAAACCUGGCCUCAGUUCAGAUUGGAGGCUGCAACUCGCCUCC
rnacentral:rRNA from 1 species